rnacentral:misc_RNA from 1 species
UGCCACACAUUAGCCGCCGAGAAGGGGUGCUCUUGCGCGCGCUUGUGUGCGGGCGCCUGCCUUGUUGCUCAAUACCGACAAGCGGGAAAAACAGACAGAGAGGGAGAGAAGGACACCGUGGAAAGCAAUGAGAGUCACCGUGUAGUCGAUCAACCGCUCCCCCCUUCCCCAACCCCACCCUCACCCGCGUAAACGUCACUUGACUCACCUCGUGACACGCGCACACGGAACGCAUACGUACACCUACAAAGCCUCCGCUGCUCACCACUUCUCCCUAUCCUGUUCCCCGUCUCCUUUCCUCGAUGCGGGGUGUGCUGGCGCGUAACGCAUGUCGGCUCAACUCCCUCCAGAAAGGGACGCGGCUAGCUGAUGUCUACCAGCUCCUCAUCACCAAGAAGCCGGUCGAGUACGACUACGUCGCGAUUGACGUGAACGCCUUUGUCGGCGGUGCCAUGCGCAUAACAAAGAACAUGUCGCCAGAGCAGCGUCGCAGCAAGGAGGCUUCGCGGCAUGUCCUCAACUCCAUCAUGCAGAUGCUGCGCCGCGUGGUGUGCCGUCGCUCUCUUCUCCUCGCCUUUGAUGGUCCGGACACGUUUGCGAAGGCGUACAAGCUUCGCACCACGCCGUCGACACGGCGACUCGACAUUCAAACUCAGCGCCUCCCCGGUGGUGUUCUGAUGCGUGCGGUGGAAGAUCGCAUAGUCAAGACGAUGCCGCUGGGGCGCGGUCUGAUUCCCGGCGAGGUGGUCGUUUCCGGUGUCAACGUGGAGGGCCCGGUGGAGCGAAAGGUGACGGCAUGGGCUCUCGACUUGGCGUGCCGCGACGGGGCGCAGCACACCUCCAAGUCUAUCUGCCUCAUCGGAGCGGGGGAGCUGUGGAUGAACGUGCUCGCCCUCACGCCGUACUCUCAAGGUACGAGCAUCUUGCACGGAUCGUCCGACUUGCGCCACAUGACGCUCAACGACUCCCUGACAUGGCUCCAGCUCGGCGACGACCUGCUGACCGGCGAUGCACGGGUCAUCACGGCAGCGCGGACAGAUGCGCUGUUGCUUUAUCUGCUGUGCCACGGCUGCUCCGCAACAGACCUCUCGCCGCUGUCUGGAUCGAACUUUACGGUUCUCAUGGAAGCAUACCACGCUCGACGCCGAGAAGCCGCAGCAGCCGCCGGUGCGGCCGCCGGGGCACCGAUCUUUCAGCUCAUCCGCGAGCAGCCGAACGGUGCCCUGGUGCUUGACGUGCAGGCGUUCUACCUACUCUUUGUGGCGGAAAAGGACAUUGCAGCAGCGAUCCAGUCGCUGGCGGCGCUUGUCGUGCCGGCGAAGGGUGCGAGCCCACACGCGGCACCGCUGAGGACCUUCUCCAUGCCGCUCUCCACUUCAGGCGGCAGCGCAUCAGAGGAGCAGAUGCGCGACGCUAACACGCCCGACAUGUUGCACGGCAGCUACCUAAGCCACCUGCUCAACUCCCAUCACCUCUUCUGCCAUGGUGAAAUGCUCGGUCGGUUCAGUGUGCCGGCCUACAUGGAAGCAGAGGUGAAGAUGGGGAGCCUUGGCCGCAGCGGCGCUGCGGGUGUCCGCGCCAGCGUGGUCGCCGUGGGGGAUUGGACCCGCUUUCUGCUCCGCUGUCUCCAACGCGGGGGGCGCUACGCUUUCGCCAGUGACGCAGGCGCUGAGCUAAGCUACAACACCUCGAAGUGGGCACCACCCGCUACGACGGCUGCCGAUGUGAGCGCUGCGUCUUCGCCCACCGCUCCCUGCACGACCGCGUACUAUCCUUUCUGGUCCUCCGCGCAGCCGCUGACGGCAGCCGAGUACACCAUCCUUAGCACCCCAAAUCCAGGCAUCCUCGAUCCGCUGCUAGUGGAUUACGUGCCGGGGGUAACGCCGGCGCUACGGUCGGAGCUGCCGCGGGCGCUCACUUCUGUGCAGGCGAACCUCCAUGAACUUCGCAGCUCGCUGCAGCACUUCUUCGCGUACGCGACGGCUGAUCGGCCGCACCCGUCGCUGUGCCUGGCGCCGUCCUACCACUGGUGUCAAAACGAGAAGAGCAAGGUGUGGUCAAUGCGGUACGUGGACUUGGGCGUGGUCGCACGGCAGCAGGGUGUCCGUCACGCACGCGGCCUGCUGCCUGGCAUGAGCAUGGAGCAGGAAGCGCCGAAGGAGGGCGCCGUGGUAUAUGACGCCGAAUCACAAACGUGGACCUCGCAGCCACGCAGCUUCGCUGUAUUCACAUCGUCGGAGCAGCUACCGGGACAUCAAGAGCGUGAGCAUGCCGACGGGUCAUCGUCUUCAUCCAUGGCGGCCACGGCUGCUGCUUCCGUGGAUGCGGCCGAGGUGCCCACGCUGAGGGUGCUCACGUGGAACGUCAUGUUCGAUCGGUACAGCAACCAACCUACCCCACUCGGUAUGCCGGGCAUCGACUGGUGCAGCCCGAAGCGGUACCCGGUGCUGGCGAAGCUCAUCGACGCCGAGGACGCCGAUGUGGUGGGGAUGCAGGAAGUGGAGCGGCCGUUUGCUGAGUACCUCGCGGCGCAGCCGUGGUGCCGCGAGCGGUACAUCAUGUCCUGCAGUCCGCAGAGCCCCAUCUUGGAUCCGUGGGGCGUGCUGCUACUUGUGCGCCGCGGCGGGCGGUGGCCGCUGCAGCAGCUGAAACACCUGAAUGUGCCGGCGUGGUCAGGCCACGUCUCCCUCAUGCCUGUGGCUACGCUGGAUUUGAGUGCAGCCGCCGCCCACAGCGACAACAGUGGCACCGGCGGUGGCAGCUCAGCCGGAAAGAGCGGCAGCAGAAAGCUUGCAGCGUCGCCGCGGGUGGUGAACGUCUGCUCCAUGCACUUGCUGGCGCCAUUUGUGAAGGUGAACGAGGUGGCCCGCACGGGUCAGGAUCAAGCUCUGCGUCAUGCGCUGACGCGGCAGCUGCAGGGCGACACGCUCGUGAUGGGCGACUUCAACGACUGGCCGAGCAACGAGUUCCUCAUGCCGCCAGAGUCGCGGUACGUCGAGUGCUGGCCGAUCAUUCACCCCGGUGACUAUGGGAAAACAAUGGACGAGUCGAACACCUUCUGCAAGCUGAAGAUCGAAGAGAUCUUCUUUGGUCGCUCUGACAAGGUGUUCCUCCGGACAGGUACCGCCACAGCCUCGAGCCCCACCCGAGGCGUGCUGAAGCCAGUGGAGGCGCAUCUAGUAGGAACGCGGAGCGUCAAUGACGAAAACGGCAAUCAAGAAGCACCGGCGUAUCUGUUCCCGUCUGACCACUACGGCGUCAGCAUGCAGUUCCAAGUCCUGUGACCGACAUGCUCCGUGCGCGUGUGCAUGUGUGUCUGCCUGCAAUGGUGGUACAGAGGGGAGAGGAAGGGGAGGGUGACUGCCACGGCACUACGCCCCUCUCCCCCAUCCACAGGCGCCGACAGAGCGAGAGAGCUGCGUGGAAAAGGACGGAGGCGAGGGGGCGCUGGUUUGGUGUGUGUCUCAUCUGCGUUUGGGUGUGGUCGCUCUGUGCUUCGUCUCUGCUUCUCCCCUUCCCUGCUCCAUCUCCUGCGGUUUAAGAAGGCACGAGGCUGAGGGGAGGCAUCCCGCGUGCGGUACCACUGCAGCCCCGUUUCUGGCUUUAGUCUGCGCUGAGCAGGGAACCCCCUCCCCCCUUCCCCCUCCCCUCACCUCACCAAGAGAGAAACAGUCGUGCGUACGCAAGCAGUGGCUCUGCAGGUGUUU